GGUGCAAAAGUAUUUACGGUUUUGGCAUUACUUUCAAUGACAAAAACUGUAAUUACUUUUGUACC
rnacentral:pre_miRNA from 1 species